UUUUUUACCCGUCCAUUUGAACCGUGAUUUAAAAAUAUUUGGACAAAUGACCCAUUUUCCGAAAAAAAAAUGGUUUCCUCAUCAAAAUGUAAGAUGCUUUUCCUUUUUUUAAUUUCUUUUGAUAAAUCUCAUAAUUUUCAUCCGAAAACAAUGAAGUUGCAAUAAUUACUUUUGCUGCUAAUAAGGAGAGAGGAUUAAUGAUAAGCUGAUUACUUUAUUAUUUAAUGGCUUAAAUUUAAUUCUUAAUUGUUUGAGAAAGAGUGAACGUUUCCUUUUCUCUCUCCAUUUACAGACACAACUGAAAAUUAGUGCAAAAUAUUAUCGCCGAAAAAUCUCCCAUCAUACAUCAGAACAAAAGAUUACCUUAAUAUGUCUCCGUCCAUAUAGUUCGAAUUGAUUUGAUAUAAUAUAUAGAAAAUCUUUAUGGACAGUAUAUGAAUGGUUUUUCCGGCACAUAUACAUGUGAUUUUCAGUCUUUUUUCUCUCGAAAAUGGAAGGAGGGACAUGGAUGAAAAAGGCAUUAUGUCAACCUGGAAAAAAAGACCUUCCUUCAACAACAAAAAAAACACGUAAUUUAGGCGACAGUGUUUGGAUUUUUGUACUUGUAGGUUUCAAAGCUUUUUGUGGUGGAGAAGACAAAAUGAGUUUUUUGUUUUCUUGAUGGAGAAUAAAGAAACGGAUUUUUAGGGAUCCAAAGUUUAGCUUGGAGGAAAAUUCAUCCCUUUGUCGAAACUUGGCACAAUACUGUCCGGCUAGGGAUCAAGAAUGAAUGCAAAAUGGUAC